AAAUCGAGUAGCUUGAAUCGAGCUCGCGAGUAGCUUGGUUAGCUACUCGACUCGAGCUCGAUCUAAUUCGAGUUCGAGUCGAUCUCGAUCUACUUGCUACAGUAUAUCGAGUCGAUCUCGAGUAGUUAGGAGUAAGAAAUUCGAGCUCGUCGAGUAGCUUGAGCUCGAUAGCAUAUAUAUAUUGUAUUUUAUUUUAUAUAUCAAUUUACUCUUUCAGGUUUGUUAGCUAGAAUAUUUACGGGCUUAACCAGUUAUGUUGUAGUAAUAAUGAAGGGUGAAUAAGUAAUUUUGGCUUGGAAAAUAUGAUGAAAUGAUGAAAACUAAAAACGAAAAAUGAAAAAGCUUCCGUCGAAUCUCGAAUCCGUCAUUCCAUCCUUCAUAGUUCAUUCUUCUUCUUCGUUCGGUCGUUCCUCUUCAGUCUUCACUCUUCAACCUUGACUCUCAAAUUUCAAUCUCUUAUUCUUUGGCUCAUCUUCUCAACUGUCACAAGCCACAACUGACAAGGCAGUCGAUCAUCUAAAGCUUUAAACACUUCAGCAGUUUAGCUCAAAAUGGAGUAGAUAGCAGCGUGAGUAGCCGACCUUUGAGUGAGGGUUUGAAAUCAAAUCAAAACCCACCAAUUUCAACAGCUGCAUUUGACAAAUUAAGCCUGCGAUUCAAUAUAUUCCAUUUGCGUAUCCCAUUCCCUCUCCAUUGCUAUACUGGAACUUUGAGGAAAUGGAGGGCAGCUCGAUUCCUUCAACAAGUGAUUCGGUGGUUGGCGCGACAGCUUCAAGAAUUGGUGUGGACAGGUGUUUCCUGAGGGACUUCUUAUGCUUUAUGUAUCCAAGAUGAUUCCAGCAUCUGACAAAGGUAGAUUCUUUGCUUUUGGCCGUGUGUUUUCUAGAAAAAAUUGUCAUUGGCAUGAAGGUUAGAAUCAUGGGUCCCAACUAUGUUCCGGGAGAGAAAAAGGACUUGUAUGUUAAGAAUGUCCAAAGAACAGUUAUUUGGAUGGGUAAGAAGCAGGAAACAGUUGAGGAUGUGCCAUGUGAUGUGGUAACACAGUUGCUAUGGUUGGUUUGGAUCAAUUCAUCACCAAGAAUGCAACCUUGACCAAUGAAAAGGAAGUUGAUGCUCAUCCAAUUAAAGCAAUGAAGUUCACUGUCUCCCCUGUCGUGCAUAUUGCUCUGUCUCCCCUUCUAAGUCUUGUCCAUGUGGCUCCAGGACUUUAAUUGGCUUCUAAGUUUUGUUUCUUUGCAUUGCAAUUAAUCUUGUUCAAUUGAUAUUAAUGUACUUUAAUUCGAAUGUUUAGUGCAACUUAGUUUAUUGUUUAG